rnacentral:rRNA from 1 species
UACGUAGGUGGCAAGCGUUGUCCGGAAUUAUUGGGCGUAAAGCGCGCGCAGGCGGUCCUUUAAGUCUGAUGUGAAAGCCCACGGCUCAACCGUGGAGGGUCAUUGGAAACUGGGGGACUUGAGUGCAGGAGAGAAGAGUGGAAUUCCACGUGUAGCGGUGAAAUGCGUAGAUAUCGGGAGGAACACCUGUGGCGAAGGCGGCUCUCUGGGACGGUACUGACGCUGAGACGCGAAAGCGUGGGGAGCGAACAGG